GAGUUUGAUCAUGGCUCAGGAUGAACGCUAGCGGCAGGCCUAACACAUGCAAGUCGAGGGGUAGUUGUCUUCGGACAAUGAGACCGGCGCACGGGCGCGUAACGCGUAUGCAAUCUACCUUAUACAGGGGAAUAGCCCAGAGAAAUUGGAUAAUACCCCAUAGUUAAAUGAAAUGGCAUGGUUUUAUUUAUAAAGUUCCAUUGGUAUAAGAUGAGCAUGCGUCCCAUUAGUUAGUUGGUAGGGUAACGGCUUACCAAGACGAUGAUGGGUAGGGGUCCUGAGAGGGAGAUCCCCCACACUGGUACUGAGACACGGACCAGACUCCUGCGGGAGGCAGCAGUGAGGAAUAUUGGUCAAUGGGUGCAAGCCUGAUCCAGCCAUCCCGCGUGCAGGAAGACGCUCCUAUGGAUUGUAAACUUCUUUUAUACGAGAAGAAACACAUUUUUUGUAAGGUAGCUGACGGUACCAGAGGAAUAAGCACCGGCUAACUCCGUGCCAGCAGCCGCGGUAAU
rnacentral:rRNA from 1 species